rnacentral:rRNA from 1 species
UACGUAGGGACCAAGCGUUGUUCGGAAUUACUGGGCGUAAAGCGCACGUAGGCGGAUUUGUAAGUCAGGGGUGAAAUCCCGGGGCUCAACCUCGGAACUGCCUUUGAUACUGCAAAUCUCGAGUCCGGAAGAGGUGAGUGGAAUUCCUAGUGUAGAGGUGAAAUUCGUAGAUAUUAGGAAGAACACCAGUGGCGAAGGCGGCUCACUGGUCCGGUACUGACGCUGAGGUGCGAAAGCGUGGGGAGCAAACAGG